GACGAACGCUGGCGGCGUGCUUAACACAUGCAAGUCGAACGGAGUGGCGCACGGGUGCGUACCCCGUGGGUGAUCCGCCUUGCACUUCGGGAUAAGCUUGGGGAACUGGGUCCAAUACCGGCUUGUGCAAGAUGAGCUCGCGGCCUAUCAGCUUGUUGGUGGGGUAAUGGCCUACCAAGGCGUCGACUAGUAGCCGGCCUGAGAGGGUGUACGGCCACAUUAGGGCUGGGGUACCAACCAGGCUCCUACGGGCGGCAGCAGUGGGGAAUAUGGCACAAUGCGCGAAAGGCUGAAGAGGCGACGCCGCGUGGGAGAUGAAGGCCGUCGGGUUGUAAACUCCUUACGACAGAUACGCGUUACCUGAAUAAGAAGCACCGGCUAACUACGUGCCAGCAGCCGCGGUAAUAC
rnacentral:rRNA from 1 species